rnacentral:sRNA from 1 species
UUACUAGGCUGACAAGGUGUCUGCCCAAAAGCUCCUUAUUUAAUUAGCACCAUGUAUUCAGCUGUCAGUGAGAGUGAUAUAGUUAUGCCCUGAAUCUAAGUCACAUCAGCAUUACAUUUAGAAUUUUUUAUUAUAGACAAAAUAAUCUCACUAUAAUUUACCUGGUAACAUAAACAGUGAAACCUGUGUAAGUACAAUUACCAAACCUUUUUGUUGAGUUCUACUUGAUUGAUUGGUUUUAAUUAUUCCUUCCAUCAGAUAAGUUUGAAGCUUUGGCCAAUGCAGCCACUGCCCACCACAUGUUGUUGUAUGGAUGCGAUGGUGAACCUUUAUCUACAGAGAGCAUCUGGGACUGUACAGGCAUGUGCAAAAAUGGUUGGUCUACUAUUAUGUUUGCUUGGGCCAAAAAUGCUCCUCCAACUGUCUUGCAUAAAGGUGUAGCUUUGAGGGUCGGCAAGAACACUUCCAUUAAAACUAUUGUACUCCAGGUACACUAUGCAAAGAUUUUCAAAGGUAAGUUAAAUUAUUUAGGACUUAAAUUUUUUAUUUAUUUAUUCCAAUAUAAAAAAAAAGUUAUUUGUUUUCCAUAAUGUAAUG